rnacentral:rRNA from 1 species
UACCAAGGCUGCGAUGGUUAGCUGGUCUGAGAGGAUGAUCAGCCACACUGGAACUGAGACACGGUCCAGACUCCUACGGGAGGCAGCAGUGAGGAAUAUUGCGCAAUGGGGGCAACCCUGACGCAGCAACGCCGCGUGAGUGAGGAAGGUUUUCGGACCGUAAAGCUCUGUCGAGCGGGAAGAAGUGUAUCAUGGCUAAUAUCCAUGAUAUUUGACGGUACCGCUAGAGGAAGCACCGGCUAACUCCGUGCCAGCAGCCGCGGUAAUACGGGGGGUGCAAGCGUUGUUCGGAAUUAUUGGGCGUAAAGAGCGUGUAGGCGGCCUGGCAAGUCAGAUGUGAAAGCCCCGGGCUUAACCCGGGAAGUGCAUUUGAAACUGCUUGGCUUGAGUAGGGGAGAGGAAAGUGGAAUUCCUGGUGUAGAGGUGAAAUUCGUAGAUAUCAGGAGGAACACCGGUGGCGAAGGCGACUUUCUGGCCCUAUACUGACGCUGAGACGCGAGAGCGUGGGUAGCAAACAGGAUUAGAUACCCUGGUAGUCCACGCCGUAAACGAUGUUCACUAGGUGUUGGGGGUAUUGACCCUCUCAGUGCCGCAGCUAACGCAUUA